GCUUCUCUGAUGUUAGCGGCGGACGGGUGAGUAACACGUGGGUAACCUACCUAUAAGACUGGGAUAACUCCGGGAAACCGGGGCUAAUACCGGAUAAUAUUUUGAACCGCAUGGUUCAAUAGUGAAAGACGGUUUCGGCUGUCACUUAUAGAUGGACCCGCGCCGUAUUAGCUAGUUGGUAAGGUAACGGCUUACCAAGGCGACGAUACGUAGCCGACCUGAGAGGGUGAUCGGCCACACUGGAACUGAGACACGGUCCAGACUCCUACGGGAGGCAGCAGUAGGGAAUCUUCCGCAAUGGGCGAAAGCCUGACGGAGCAACGCCGCGUGAGUGAUGAAGGUCUUCGGAUCGUAAAACUCUGUUGUUAGGGAAGAACAAAUUUGUUAGUAACUGAACAAGUCUUGACGGUACCUAACCAGAAAGCCACGGCUAACUACGUGCCAGCAGCCGCGGUAAUACGUAGGUGGCAAGCGUUAUCCGGAAUUAUUGGGCGUAAAGCGCGCGUAGGCGGUUUCUUAAGUCUGAUGUGAAAGCCCACGGCUCAACCGUGGAGGGUCAUUGGAAACUGGGAAACUUGAGUGCAGAAGAGGAGAGUGGAAUUCCAUGUGUAGCGGUGAAAUGCGCAGAGAUAUGGAGGAACACCAGUGGCGAAGGCGGCUCUCUGGUCUGUAACUGACGCUGAUGUGCGAAAGCGUGGGGAUCAAACAGGAUUAGAUACCCUGGUAGUCCACGCCGUAAACGAUGAGUGCUAAGUGUUAGGGGGUUUCCGCCCCUUAGUGCUGCAGCUAACGCAUUAAGCACUCCGCCUGGGGAGUACGACCGCAAGGUUGAAACUCAAAGGAAUUGACGGGGACCCGCACAAGCGGUGGAGCAUGUGGUUUAAUUCGAAGCAACGCGAAGAACCUUACCAAAUCUUGACAUCCUUUGACCGCUCUAGAGAUAGAGUCUUCCCCUUCGGGGGACAAAGUGACAGGUGGUGCAUGGUUGUCGUCAGCUCGUGUCGUGAGAUGUUGGGUUAAGUCCCGCAACGAGCGCAACCCUUAAGCUUAGUUGCCAUCAUUAAGUUGGGCACUCUAGGUUGACUGCCGGUGACAAACCGGAGGAAGGUGGGGAUGACGUCAAAUCAUCAUGCCCCUUAUGAUUUGGGCUACACACGUGCUACAAUGGAUAAUACAAAGGGCAGCGAAUCCGCGAGGCCAAGCAAAUCCCAUAAAAUUAUUCUCAGUUCGGAUUGUAGUCUGCAACUCGACUACAUGAAGCUGGAAUCGCUAGUAAUCGUAGAUCAGCAUGCUACGGUGAAUACGUUCCCGGGUCUUGUACACACCGCCCGUCACACCACGAGAGUUUGUAACACCCGAAGCCGGUGGAGUAACCUUUUAGGAGCUAGCCGUCGAAGG
rnacentral:rRNA from 2 species